AUUGAACGCUGGCGGCAGGCCUAACACAUGCAAGUCGAGCGGAGCGGCGGACGGGUGAGUAAUGCCAAGGAAUCGGCAUGGUCGCGGGGGAUAACGUCCGGUAACGGGCGCUAAUACCGCAUCCUAUCAGACGAGCCUAGGUCGGAUUAGCUAGGUGGUGGGGUAAAGGCCUACAAAGGCGACGAUCCGUAACUGGUCUGAGAGGAUGAUCAGUGACACUGGAGCGGAGAAACGGUCCAGACGACUACGUGAGGCAGCAGUGGGGAAUAUUGGACAAGGGGCGAAAGCCUGAUGCAGCCAUGCCGCGGGUGUGAAGAAGGUCUGCGGAUUGUAAAGCACGUUAAGUUGGGAGGCGUUACCAACAGAAUAAGCACCGGCUAACUUCGUGCCAGCAGCCGCGGUAAUAC
rnacentral:rRNA from 1 species